rnacentral:tRNA from 1 species
GAGAGUGUAGCUCAGUGGUAGAGCUCAUGCCUAGCAUGCAAGAGGUCCUAAGUUCAAUUCCCAGUACCUCCA